rnacentral:lncRNA from 1 species
GGGGGAAGAAGGCGUAUCCAUGUCACUCGCCGACACGUUUGGAGAAGGUGGGUGGGUGUCUUAAGCGACUCUUCCGAGCCAUUCACGUGUCCGUACCCAAGAAGCAUGGAGUCGACGUCCGACCCAAGGCGGCCCCAUCGCUCGGCUACGCACAGUGGACGUGCGUCACGUUCAACGCCGGAGGUUUCACGAGAUAAGAGAGCGGGAGCGGCGUGGGAAAGACCGCACACCACCUGUUCGUCGAAAUGUAGUAGCACCGAAGGCUUCCGGUCGUGCGCGCGCGCGCAAGAGAGAGAGACACACACACCGAACACCAGCUGUUUGUCGAAAUGUGCGUGUUGUCGUUUGCUGCUAAUUUUCUACCGUCACGACUAGUCGUCGUCGACACGGAUAACCACGUUUGACUUCGACUCUCCUCCUC